GACGAACGCUGGCGGCGUGCUUAACACAUGCAAGUCGAACGAAGUGGCGAACGGGUGAGUAACGCGUAAUCAACCUGCCCUUCAGAGGGGGACAACAGUUGGAAACGACUGCUAAUAACGCAUACUGAAGGUGGGGAUUGUGUGUGAUAAGCUAGUUGGAGGGGUAACGGCCCACCAAGGCGAUGAUCGGUAGGCGGUCUGAGAGGGUGAACGGCCCCAUUGGGACUUGGGAACGGCCCAGACUCCUACUGGAGGCAGCAGUGGGGAAUCUUCCGCAAUGGACGAAAGUCUGACGGAGCAACGCCGCGUGAGUGAUGACGGCCUUCGGGUUGUAAAGCUCUGUUAAUCGGGACGCGGUACCGGAAUAGAAAGCCACGGCUAACUACGUGCCAGCAGCCGCGGUAAUUC
rnacentral:rRNA from 1 species